rnacentral:rRNA from 1 species
GACGAACGCUGGCGGCGUGCUUAACACAUGCAAGUCGAACGGAAAGGCCUGCUUUCCCUUGUGGAUUGCGGGUACUCGAGUGGCGAACGGGUGAGUAGCACGUGAGUGAUCUGCCCCCAACUUGGGUAUAAGCCUGGGAAACUGGGUCUAAUUCCCGAUAGGACUGCAGGGUGGUGCCUGUGGUGGAAAACGAUUUUCUAGUGGUUGGGGAUGAGCUCGCGGCCUAUCAGCUUGUUGGUGGGGUAAUGGCCUACCAAGGCGGCGACGGGUAGCCGGCCUGAGAGGGUGGACGGGCACAUUGGGACUGAGAUACGGCCCAGACUCCUACGGGAGGCAGCAGUGGGGAAUAUUGCACAAUGGGCGGAAGCCUGAUGCAGCGACGCCGCGUGGGGGAUGACGGCCUUCGGGUUGUAAACUCCUUUCGACCGCGAGGAAGCCACCUGGUUGGAAGGGUGGUGACGGUAGUGGUAGAAGAAGCACCGGCUAACUACGUG